AUGGGGGUAAGCCUUAAAGACGUUGAUGGAGCUCUAGGGCUUCUCCGUCUUUAGGUAUUUGCUAAUGGCUCUCAUAUUCCAUUGCCUUGCGGAGCGGCGUUGCUGCUUUUACCGUUUGGGACCGGCCAUGAGAUCUAUAUUCCUCUGUUUUUUUAUUUUCACUUUCGAUUUAUCCAAUUAGGUUUUAAUUAGCCGAUGAGGAGAUCAGAUUAUAAAAGAACACCAUCUUUCGGGACUGAUUAAUAUUGAUGUUACUUCUGCAAUUCUGAGGCUACUAUUCAUUUGUUUUGUUUUCGAUUAGUAAAGAGGCAGUGAUGAACGAGAAUGUCAUGCACCACUCUGAUAAUAGUGCUGAUAACCAUCUCUAACCCAUAUUUUAUCUGAGCCUUAUUUGUGAAUGUUUUUGUUUUAAGAUUGAGAAGGGUAUAGUAGUAGCCAGAUGAUGGUCAUUAUAAUGACUUGACCUUGAUGCGGACUGUAUAGCUUUAUUGCUUUUGAUGAUAACUUUUGGUUGCUGAUGGUUAUAUUAUUACCCUUUUACAUCUUUGUUUA